CUGGCUGAUGGGUCUGGUCACCGGCGCGCAACUUGGUACUUGGCGGGCUGGCUUGGUCGCUGGCGCGCAUCUUGACACUUGGCGGGCUGGCUUGGUCGCCGGCGCGCAACUUGGUACUUGGCGGGCUGGCUUGGUCGCCGGCGCGCAUCUUGGCGCCUGGCGAGGUGGCCUGGUCGCCGGGGCGCAUCUUGGCGCCUGGCGAGGUGGCCUGGUCGCCGCUGGCGGCCGGCUUGGGGCAUGGCAGGUUGGGUAAGUCCCCGCAGGUGCCCGCCCUGGCGCCUGGCGGACUAGCCUGGUCCCCGCCGGCGCCCGCCUUGGCGCGUGGCGGGCUGGCCUGGUCGCCGCCGGUGG
rnacentral:lncRNA from 1 species